UACGUAGGUGGCAAGCGUUGUCCGGAAUUAUUGGGCGUAAAGCGCGCGCAGGCGGUCCUUUAAGUCUGAUGUGAAAGCCCACGGCUCAACCGUGGAGGGUCAUUGGAAACUGGGGGACUUGAGUGCAGGAGAGAAGAGUGGAAUUCCUGGUGUAGCGGUGAAAUGCGCAGAUAUCAGGAGGAACACCGGGGGCGAAGGCGGGUCUCUGGGCAAUUCCUGACGCUGAGGCGCGAAAGCGUGGGGAGCAAACGGG
rnacentral:rRNA from 1 species